GUACUUUUUAUGUCUGUAUGGUAAAAGACACGAGACAUAGUCACACUCCCAAAAAAUUACAAUCAGUUGAAGAGGUUUGACUAACUUGAGAUUUUAACUUAAGGACCAGGCAGUAUGCACUUGAUUACAGACCAUACAUUCUAAGUACUCAGAGGGAAACCUACCCUUUUUUUGUCUGAUUUCAGACUAUUUUUUCAGCUAGAUUUCUUUAGCCUCUACGAAAAUAUAUUGCAUGAGCAUAUCAUUAAGGAAGAUGAGGGAGAAUCAUGCCCCAAACUUUCUAGAAGAAAGGGGAAUGUUUUUAACAAAGAAACAUGAAAGAACAUGACAUGAAGCUAAAUCAUACUCCUGUUUGUCCUUCAUUUAUAAAACCUCAACUGUUUCUAUGUACAUAGAAGAUAAAAACAAACAAUAGGCUGGGCGCAGUGGCUCACGCCUGUAAUCCCAGCACUUUGGGAGGCCAAGGCGGGCAGAUCACGAGGUCAAGACAUCGAGACCAUCCUGGCCAACAUGGUGAAACCCAGUCUCUACUAAAAAUACGAAAAUAAACUGGGCAUGGUGGUGCACGCCUGUAGUCCCAGCUACUCAGGCGGCUGAGGCAGGGAAUUGCUUGAACCUGGGAGGCAGAGGUUGUGGUGAGCCAAGAUCACGCCACUGCACUCCAGGCUGUUGACAGAGCGAGACUCCGUCUCCAAAAAAAAGGUUCUUUGGGUGGAUUAGUUGAUAGUAACAGUUCGUCCUAUGUGGUUGUAGUUGUGCACACAAAAUUGUGUUUGCACUAGCUAGGACUAAAGGCGUGUGCCACCACGCCCAGCUAAUUUUUGUAUUUUUAGUAGAGAUGGGGUUUCACCAUGUUGGCCAGGAUGGUCUCAAUCUCUUUACCUCAUGAUCCGUCCGCCUUGGCCUCCCAAAGUGCUGCGAUUACAGGCGUGAGCUACCACGCCCGGCCCUUAAUUUUAAUUGUUAAAAUUUGAUAAAGAAGGUGGGUAGUAGACAUAUCAAAUGAUCAUUAUAUUAUUUUCUGUGUGUUUGAAAUAUUUCACAGUAUUUUAAGAUGAACCUAAAAUAAAACAUUAAAGAAACUCCAUUAAACUAAUGAGCCUAUAAAAAUAUAUAUCCCACUGGGCAUCUGUAAUGAAAACAUGCUAAUACUCAGCAAGCUUACUGAUUUUUUUUUUUAAGCCGUUAAAUUUCAGGCAUCAGAUUUCAGUCUUCUCUUUCCAAGCACAUAGUACAAGCAGGCUCUUUCAUCCCACACUCUUUUUUUUUUUCCGAGACGGAGUCUCACUUUGUUGCCCAGGCUGGCUCGAUCUCAGCUCACUGCAACCUCUACCUCCUGGGUUCAAGCAAUUCUCCUGCCUCUGCCUCCCGAGUACUACAGGCAUGCUGAGAAUACAGGCAUGUGACACUGUGCCCGGCUAAUUUUUGUGUUUUCGGUAGAGAUGGGGUUUCACCAUGUUGGCCAGGCUGGUUUCAAACUCCUGACCUCAGGUGACCUGCCCACCUCAGCCUCCCGAAGUGCUGGGAUUAUAGGCAUAAGCCACUGCGCCCA
rnacentral:lncRNA from 10 species